rnacentral:tmRNA from 1 species
GGGGAUGAAACGGCUUCGACAGGAUAAGAAAGAGAAAUAGUGCAAGUAGGUUUGAACAACCUUAAUCGUUCAGAAACAAUAAUUGCAAACAAUAACGCAAACUUCGACGUAGCACUCGCUGCUUAAUCGGGAGGUCGCUCAAAACCUUCUAUCCAAUUUGAGCAGAUAUCGCAACAGAGGUGGUAAGCGAUAUUUUAAAACCACCAAAACAUAUCAACUGGAUAGGGUGAGGGUUUAGCUUGGCAGUUGAUUAAUCACCCCGCUUUUGUUAAUUUUUAAGUGGAAGGUUGAGGUGCUCUUCAAAAAUUAACUAAACUUGUGAACGACUACUAUUGGACUUAUUGUGGACGCGGGUUCGACUCCCGCCAUCUCCACCA